rnacentral:rRNA from 1 species
GACGAACGCUGGCGGCGUGCCUAAUACAUGCAAGUCGAGCGCUGAAGGCUGGUACUUGUACCAACUGGAUGACCAGCGAACGGGUGAGUAACGCGUGGGGAAUCUGCCUCUGAGCGGGGGACCACAUUGGGAAACGAGUGAUAAUACCGCAUAAAAACUUUAAACACAAGUUUGAAGUGUGAAAGAUGCAAUUGCAUUACUCAAAGAUCAUCCCGCGUUGUAUUAGGUAGUUGGUGAGGUAAAGGCUCACCAAGGCGAAGGUUCAUAGCCGACCCGGGCGGGAGAGCGGCCACGGUGGGACUGGGACACGGCCCCAACUCCGACGGGUAGGAGCAGUAGGGGAGCGUCGGAUAUGGACGAAAGUCUGACCGAGCUGCGCCGCGGGAGUGUAGAAGAUUUUCGGAUCGGGAAUGUCAGCUGGUUGAGAAGAACGAUAGUGAGAGUGGAAAGCUCAUCUAGUGACGGUAACUGCACAGAAAGCGACGGCUAACUACGUG